GCCGUUUGGUUGUCGAGUGCGAGUUCGGGCCUAACCGGGCAACGGGUGCCGCGGGAGGCCGAUUGCAAGUGACUACAAGCAAUCGGAGAGCGAUUCGAGGUGGGUUGUGUUUACCGAAGCGACUAGGUCGCCUCCAUGUCAAAGUGGAGCUUGAAUUCAUAUUGAUGCAUAUUAUGGUAGUUGUAGCAUUUCGGAUGCAUAGAUGCUAAAGAUAUAUAAACUGCCAUUAGAUAAAGACAUGGACUAGAAAUGCUAAGUGGAUUGCAUGUGUAGGUUAAUAUUAUGAUAAACAUGCUAGUUGAUGAUUGCAUAAUGAUGCAUUGAGAAUAUAUGCUAGUGGAUAGAUUCAUGUUGGUAU
rnacentral:lncRNA from 1 species